CACCAUCAAGGACGAGAAGAUUGGGGCCAAGCUGCCGCCGGCCGACAAGAAGAAGAUCGAAGACUCGAUCGAGACUGCCAUCCAAUGGUUGGACAGCAACCAGCUGGCGGAGGCCGAUGAGUUUGAAGACAAGAUGAAGGAGUUGGAGAGCAUCUGCAACCCAAUCAUCGCCAAGAUGUACCAGGGAGCUGGGGGCGAAGGUGCCGGCCCAGUUGAUGAUGAUGAUGCUCCACCUAGUGCCAGCGGCCCAGGCCCCAAGAUCGAGGAGGUCGACUAAGUUUUUUGCUGCCAGGGGUUAUGUCGUUUUUUGGGAAUUAUUAUUUAGGUGUCUGUGGAACUUAAUAUUUUUAUGUUUUAUUUGGCCUUGAAGUUAUAUAUCAAUGCCUAUUUUUCUAUUUUGCGGAACCUUUUAUGUUGUGCCGCCGGUAAAUUUCUGCCAGGCGUUUAUUUUUAUUUUUUUUGAACUUUUUAAUUUGUA
rnacentral:lncRNA from 1 species